rnacentral:lncRNA from 13 species
GGCAGCUUUAGGCUGGACUGCCAGAUGGGCGGGGUUCACAAUUCUGUGACUUUUCUAUUUGUUCCAUUGCACAAUACACGCUCAAUCAAGCCCAGAUCUUGAUGUGAUGCUGAUGAACAUUAGGUCACAUGUUAAGAGAUUUGCCUAGCUUACUUCACUGUCUGAAGAGCUGCUGUCAGAGGAGGAGGAGGAUGAACUGGAAUCCUGUGUACAAGAAAAACAAAGAUGGUAUUACAUAAUUGACACCAGUAAAGUACAUGUCAGAUACCUCCCCUAUUUGAUCCUCCUGCAGGGUCUUCGGGCUCUGUCUUGGCUGCGCUAGUGGUGUCUGUUGCAGACAGCCCUCCUAACCCUCCAUGCUCUGCAAGCACACAUUCACUCCUCCCAGGCUGGAUCUCAUCCAGUGGGCUCAGGACCACUCGUCCUCCCUCUCCCCCCGCUCCAUCUACAGGCCCUGGAACUACACAAAACAGCACAGAUGAAUACACAAUUAUAUUUUCCAUUCACAAAUCAAUGUUUAUUGUAUUGCAUGGGUUACAAUAUUUGUUCAGUUGUCUUAGACUUGUAUCCUAUUGUACCAAUCACCUACAGACUGAGGCUUUUGCAGUGCAAACAAUAUUAAAUACAAUACAAAAACGAGAACCAGAGUGUCAAAAAUGCAUAGGCCUACUGUUCAUGUGUGAAUGGCAUAAAAGUCUAUUAAUAUUAUGGAUAAAUCUAUGGAUAAAUCUAAUGCACUUCCUUAUUUCUCACACUGUACUCCAUCCCAUGUAAUGAUGCAUUCACCUCAGAGUACAUUUGUAGCCAUAACGCACAAAACAAAUUGACUAUCUAUAUAUUGUAUGUUAUAAGUAGAAUAACUGACAGAUAACGCAAUUAUGCAUGUUGAGUGACAACAGCACAGAAUUGCAUGACUUUUACUUCAGGUUUAUUUUGACCACGCCCCUGCAUGACCCCAAAAAAGACAAAUAUUUGUAGAGCUUUACACAACUGUGCACCACUUCAAAUGUCACAUGUUUCCAAUUUACGCAUAAAGUAGAACGGAGUAGAUUAUACAGUUGUGAUAAUGAGAAAUUAUUGUUACUUUUACCGGGAAUAUACUUAUAAAACGAGACCCAUUACAUUUUUACACCACAUAAAGCUUUAAACAUAUGUCGGUAAUCUAUCAAAUCUCUAAAAGUCACUAAAAGUGCAUAGAUCACAAUACCUUUGGGUCUGUUGAACUCCAUUCAACUCAACAGCCGCUCCAGUUACACCUCCUCGUUUGCUGUGAAAUGAUGAGCUGACUGAGUUACAAGGAUAGUAACUCCUUCUAUAUGGCCAUCGGCCAAGGUGUGAGUGUUGUGUUGUGCAGAACAGGUAAAUAUGUUUUUCACAAUAACGGGCUGACCUUUCACCUUGCAUGUAGAACAUAAGCCUAAUAUCUAAAAAAAAAUAUAUAUUAGUUAAGAAUGAUCUAUAUAAUACGUUUUUGUAAGUUUGUCCAACUGUAUUAUCUCUUCUCACAGUACAUGGAGGUACGAAAAACAAUAAAAAACAAUAGGUGUAUAAACAUAUAAUUGUCAAAACAUUACACUGUCAGUAUGGUCAAGUGUUCCUUGCGCAAAAUAAGGCACAGUAUUGCGCUGAAUACAAUUUUUUAUUUUGAUAUCUUGGAGUGCUAAAAUUGAUCUCUCAACUACAGCCACAGGGCAAAUUAUGUUUGGUUAGAAUUUAAAGGGUUACGUAGGUCAACCAAGGGUGUAACUUGGGGUCAGGGUCUAUGAGGGAUCCUGGGGCAUUUAUUUAAAGAAAUAGCCUAUCGUAGCUGUGAAAUGGUUGUUUCUGGUGAAUGUUACAGGGAAAAUCCAACACCUGAUAUUUUGGUCAAUAUACCCCAAUCACAACUCAAAUACCAAUAUUUGUCUGUAUUACUUUAAAAGCAUUGGUCUAACUCUAACAGUUCAGUAAGCCACCACCCCUUCUUAAUGCACAGUAAAUGUUCAAACAUAUUAUUCUAUUUGUGUAGUCUACCUUUCACAACACUUGGCUAGUAGGCUACAUUUAUUUUAAUUUCAUUAAACCUUUAUUUUAUCAGGGAGUCAAACUGAGACCAAGGUCUCUUUUACAGAUGAGCCCUAAAUUACAUAAAUUACAGAAAAUACAUUUGUCAUAAAAAAUUUUUUUAAACACAUUCAUCCGUAAUAAGGUCCUCAAUCAGCUUUCUGAAUUUGCCUGAGAGGCACCCAAACAUCACAUUCAAGAACAUGUUGAAGAUCGUUCAAAUAAGGUGCAAGAAAACUAUAAGCUGAUUUACAUAACUCCCUAGAGACCAAAGGAAUUUCCAGAGUUAGCCAUCCCUGAGACCUGCUGCGGUAACUCGUAUGUCUAAAGUAAAGAUGUUAGGUACAGUGGGACUUUUUGUAAAAUGGAAAAAAAUAGCAACGUAUCAACCUACGUGACAUCAGAGGGCCAACCAACUUUCUGCUGGAGAAUGCAGUGAUAAACUGCAUCUAACAGCUUUAGUGAAGUGGCAGCUGCGUUCACAUAGAUGAGGUCGCCAUAGUCUAGGACCGAUAGGAGCGUCGACUGAAUAAUCGGCUUCCUACUGUUUAGCGAGAGGCAGGACCUAUUUCUAUAGAAGAAGCCCCUUUUUAAUUCUCAGCGUCUUUACUAGAACUCAUCAAUAUGCUUUUUAAAAGUCAGCUUUUCAUCUAUGCAGAUGCCCAGAUAUCUGUAAGCAGGGACAUGAUCAAUAUGGACAC